UGGGAAGCAAACAGUUGUGGCUAUCAUGGGGAUGACGGAUUUCUAUAUCGUGGACAGGGGAAGGGAGAGGCUUUUGGCCCAACCUAUACAACAGGUGAUACAGUUGGUGGUGGUAUCAAUUACGCGUCACAGGAAUUCUUUUUCACUAAAAAUGGGGCAAUCAUAGGGACGGUGUACAAGGACAUGAAGGGUCCCCUGUUUCCUACAGUUGCUGUACAUAGCCAAAAUGAGGAGGUUCAUGUCAACUUUGGACAGAAAAAGUUUGCUUUUGAUCUUAAGGCAAGAUG